ensembl:lincRNA
CCAAAAUUAUAAUUGCUGCUGAUUUUGGAACUUCAGGUGGAUAUACCCACGUAAAAUCAAUUUGUGUCUCAAGGAAUCUAGUUAUGACGAAUGAAUUGAGUAUGUAAAAGUUAAAAGUAAAAGGGAAAGUUGCAAACUAUAACUCUGUGAGCACUGUUGACAUCAAAUUGAAUGAAUAGGAUAUCAGGUUCACUUGAGUGACCCAGCAGUAUUGGCGGCGGAGGUUUUGCACUCUACAGAGUGCUCCCCCUCUCGUUCAAAAAUGUAUUGGGCCAGAUAUGUUCUCGUAUAUGUGGCGGAGGUAUGCGCUCUACCGAGUGUCCUUCUGGUUCGUGUAGAUUUUAUUGCGAUCCUGUGCAGUACAACUAGUUGAACUUUCAUUGGGUGGAAAAGAUGACAUUUUUUACGUUGAAACUAAACCAUGUAACUGGAUACUUGUAUUCACAUUUAAACAUUGUUUUUCAUUGCUCACCUCUUGGUGGACCACACCCUUUUCUGCAUUCUUCACUUCAUGAUAAAAGAAGACCGAAUUGCACAAUUUUCAACUCCUCCAGUCUUCUCUCGGAUCUGGAAACCAUGAGCACUCAACAUUCAGAUCCCAAAAGUCAGUUAUUCCGAAGAUCCAGCAUGAGAACAUUAUUGGUCCUGCUCUUGUUGGCGAGAGAAAGCAGCAAUGUUUGGGCAAAAGAUCUGGAGGAAUAUUCUGAAAAAAUAGGGGAAGUUGGGAGUACCAACAACACUCCCUUGCCAUGCUCCACCAGAAAAACGACAAGAUGUGGACUUUGAGUGGACGUUUGUGAACGACACAAAUGUGGUGAGAUUAAACAGGAAUUUACGAAACUACCCAACUGGGAUAAAAUGAAUAAAAUACUACAUUCAUUGAUGUUUCAUCAGUCAAACAUUGUAAACUGUUGAUGAUGUACUGUGUAAGCAGAUCUUGAUAUGAAAACAAUUGAAGAUGAAAGUGUUUUUUGUCAUCUAUUUAUUCUACAUGAUGCAAGGGAAGAUGAGUGUUGGUUAGUAUAGAGGAGAUGAUAUGAGAAGGGGGUGGGGAUGCGAGGAAGUGGGAGAGAAGAAAAGAGUUUGGAAUGGAACAGGCAUAAGAGAAGAAAAGAGCAAGUGGACAUGUAUUAAGCAUAUGUAUAUGUGGAAAGGAUGAGGGGGGGGGAGGGGGGUGGGCAGUGAGAGGGAGGUAAAAAAAUCUGAGCUAUAUCUGUGUUUGUCAUAAAACUAUACCCCUUGUAUGCAGUAAGUAUGUAAUUAUUCCUGUUUCAUACACAAGGCACUUUUCAGAUACAAUUCUCAGGGAAAUACCAGUUUAGAUUUAUAACCCACACCCCAAAAAUAAACUCCAGCUCAGGAAUGGAAAUUUAGCUAACCCAAAAGCAUUGUUUUCCUGAUCUCUGGGGAGAGCUAUUUUUGAGUGUUUAACUUCGUAUAAGGGAUGACUUCUAACGUGUAUGAAAUACAAUAUGAUGAACAACGUUGCAUAUUUGAAUGUACCUAACAACUCCUUCUGAGUGAUACGUGACAUCUAUUAGAUUAGCACAUAAAGAGUUUCUUCGUAACUCAAGUCAUUGGUGAGUC